CUGGAGUUUGGCAGAGGGGGGUGGAAUUCCACGUGUAGCAGUGAAAUGCGUAGAGAUGUGGAGGAACACCAAUGGCGAAGGCAGCCCCCUGGGUCGAUACUGACGCUCAUGCACGAAAGCGUGGGUAGCAAACAGGAUUAGGUACCCUGGUAGUCCACGCCUUAAACGAUGUCAACUAGGUGUUGGGAGGGUAAGACCUUUUAGUGCCGUAGCUAACAAGG
rnacentral:rRNA from 1 species